GUCUAUUGCCAUGCCACCCUGAACAAGCCCGGAAGCUAAGCAGGAUCGGGCCUGGUUAGUACUUGGAUGGGAGACCACUUAGGAAGAUCAGGUGCUGUAGGCA
rnacentral:rRNA from 1 species